rnacentral:rRNA from 1 species
CCUACGGGUGGCAGCAGUGGGGAAUAUUGCACAAUGGGGGAAACCCUGAUGCAGCGACGCCGCGUGAGUGAUGAAGUAAUUCGGUAUGUAAAGCUCUAUCUGCAGGGAAGAUAAUGACGGUACCUGAGGAAUAAGCACCGGCUAACUACGUGCCAGCAGCCGCGGUAAUACGUAGGGGGCAAGCGUUAACCGGAUUCACUGGGUGUAAAGGGUGCGUAGGCUGGGUGGUAAGUCAGCGGUGAAAUGCCCUCGCUUAACCGGGUGAAGUGCUAUUGAUACUGUCUUGCUGGAAUGCGGAUGCGGUGGGAGGAAUGCUUGGUGUAGCGGUGAAAUGCGUAGAGAGCACGAAGAAUACUGAUUGCGAAGGCAACUCACGAAUACGCGAUUGACGCUGAUGCACGAAAGCGUGGGUAUCAAACAGGAUUAGAUACCCUUGUAGUC